rnacentral:rRNA from 1 species
UACGUAGGGGGCAAGCGUUGUCCGGAUUUAUUGGGCGUAAAGAGCGUGUAGGCGGUUUGGUAGGUCCGCUGUGAAAACUCGAGGCUCAACCUCGAGACGCCGGUGGAAACCAUCAGACUAGAGUCCGGAAGAGGAGAGUGGAAUUCCUGGUGUAGCGGUGAAAUGCGCAGAUAUCAGGAAGAACACCCGUGGCUAAGGCGGCUCUCUAGUACGGUACUGACGCUGAUACGCGAAAGCGUGGGGAGCGAACAGG